GGAAGUAGUACGCCGUCUUCACAACUCGGAGACAAAUUGUAGCAGGUGCUACGAACCGGAGCAAGGACUAACCUCGCCUCAUAACGAGGCCGUGACCUAUAUUUUCUUGGAGCUGUCUGCAGGUCCAGAUUUACAUUACGCUGAUAAUGACGCCAUUGUGUCUGCCUGUAAGACAUAUUAUGAGACAGCACGCAGGAACUUCAGGCAGAAACAACCAGAUCAUCGUGGGCAGAAGCUGUGAAGAGUUCAGCUCGAUGUCGGUCGAGAAGAAAAGAGGCUGCUGGAAGCAAGACAGAGUGUGCUGGCUGCGGGUGAGGUGGGCAUUUUGGAAGUGCGCCACCAUAGACAUACAGGACAACGCACCACAGACGUCUGCAAAAUGGACCGAAUUCAGACCGAAUGCUGCCGGUUACAUACAGGCCGCGGGUUAGGGGUUGACGGUGCUGCUUCUCGUGAGCGUGGGAUAUUUGUUGUGUGUGCUGUAUGUCUCUAUGCUUUGUACACAGUUUUUUCUGAUUGCGUUUGUGUUUUGUGUCAAUAAAACUCUAUCUUUGAAUAAACAGCACGUUCCUGACAAAUCAUUUUUCUUAGGAUAACCAUGACAUGAAUAUACAACAUAGCAUAUAUGAA